UACGUAGGGGGCAAGCGUUGUCCGGAUUUAUUGGGCGUAAAGAGCUCGUAGGCGGCUUGGCAAGUCGGGUGUGAAAACUCCAGGCUCAACCUGGAGAUGCCACUCGAGACUGCUAUGGCUAGAGUCCGGUAGGGGACCACGGAAUUCCUGGUGUAGCGGUGAAAUGCACAGAUAUCAGGAGGAACACCGGUGGCGAAGGCGGUGGUCUGGGCCGGCACUGACGCUGAGGAGCGAAAGCAUGGGGAGCGAACAGG
rnacentral:rRNA from 1 species